ensembl:lncRNA
CUUUUUUUUUUUUUUUUUUUUUUCACUUGUGCAGCAACUUUACUACUAGGGGAAAUGGCUGGUGUUUUUAAAUACAGGCUACACGAAACAUCAGGGAGUGACCCCCAUUAAAAGAUAUAUUUUUCAUGAAGAAAAGGCCAAGGCUUUGAUGAAUAAAACACUCGAUAGGUGUUAAGUGUUCUUCUGAAUGAAAAAAAAAAAUUGUAAACACAACGCUUUCUGGAAACUAGGCUACUGCCCAGUUUACCAACAGAGCCUUUACUAAGCACCCCCUCUAUGCCUAGCACUCUACCAGGCGUUUUUAUCAUCUCACUAAGGUAUUUUUAUCCACAUUCUUCGGUUGAGGAGAAUAAGGCCACGAGGGUGGGUUUGCCCAAGACAGCACAGAAAUGGUGUGACAGGAGUUCCCGCUGGGGCACAGUGUGUCAACAACCCAACUAAUAUCCAUGGGAUGUGGGUUCAGUCCCUGGUCUGGUCUUGCUCAUUGGGUUAAGGAUCUGGUGUUGCCGUGAGCUGUGGUGUAGGCUGGCAGCUAUGGCUCUGAUUUGACCCCCUUCCCGGGACCUUCCAUGUGCCGCAGGUGCAGCCCUAAAAAGAAAAAGAAAAAAGAAAUGGCAUGACAGACCCAACCUGCCUACCUGGUGGGGUUGCUAGGUAUCCUCGGAGUACAAGCCAUGACCAGUAUUGAAUGAUUUUGUCCUGCGUCUUUAUUUAGGGAGCCUUGAAUGUCCUGUAUUCAGCUAUUUAAGUUACCAAAGUUCAUUGGAGCCAUUUUUCACAUUUAACUGGGCGUUCUGUAUUUUUAUUUGCUACAUCUAGCACCCUUGACGUCUGGGUCUCAGGAUCCCAAAUCCAGAGGUUCGCCCCUUUUACACGAACGAAGAGGGUUUUCCUGAACACUUGAUGAAAUGAACAGUGGGCCCCCUAGGUCUGAUGUACAGUAGUUAGGACUGUGGACUCUGGAGACUUUGAGACUCAGGUUCAUGUUCCUGCCCUACCACUUGCAAGCUGUGUGACCUGGGCAAGAUUCUUGACCUCCCAGAGCCUCAGCGUGUCUAGCUGCAAAAUGAGGACAAGAGUAAUGCCUACCUCAUAGGGGUGUGUGAAGAUUUAAGAAGAAAAUGCACAUAAGAAAAUUGGCCAGGUUCUGGCGCAUGGUAGGUUCAAGAAAUAUUAGCUAUUACCUAGAUCUUCAAGAUGGUUCUCCUACGGCUCUUCCCAUCUGUAGCUCUGCCCAAGUAUCCCCUGGCUCUAAAACAUCAACUCUCUGACAGAGACAGGGCAAAUCUCUGAACGUGGCAUGUAAAGUUAGGAGCACUGGUCCCACCACACCUGCCAGCCCCAGCCCCUCCUACCACACGCAGGAGCCAGGCCACCAGGGACUGUCAUGAUAACCUGUGGAACAUAACUGAAUACAAUUCUGAAUGUGGCUCAGGGAACAAUUAUAUUUCCAGAUUGAUGUGAUAAUUCUUUUUCUGCCGAAUAGUAUUAUGCGAUCUUGGAUCCCAGGGCUGCCUGGUCCUUAUAGGUGGAUUUGACUUGUUGAUGAAAGCAGCCAGAUAACAGGAUAUUCUGGGAUCUUUGGAGCGAGAACAUCACUCUAGAGGAGCCGCCGUGCUAGAGAAAGUGACAGUAGGAAGACUUUCGUGAGGAAAAAACAGUCAGGGUCUUAACCGCCCACCAGCCCCCCAGCCUCAACACCACUCCUUCCUCCGACCAAACCCACUGGAGAUGGUGUCUCCUGCUUUCAAAGCAGCCAGGCCAUAAACACUAAGGAGGAGGUUUACUGGCCCAUCCUCAACUCACUGUUUUAUUGCCUGGCAUUUCCGCUACCUUCUCUGGAAAUUGACAAAAAUAUCUUCUUUAAAACGGCGUCUGGUUUUGCAGGCCCAGAUUCACAGUGUCUGCAAGGGCUUCUUCUGUGGCUGUAUGGUCGCCUCUCGCCCUUGCCUCGCUGUCUCUUGGUCCCCCUGUGUUCUUGAGAGGUGUCGGCCCCCAGUAGGACACCAGACCCCGAAGAAGCACCAGGCCUGUUGGCCCCACCGUGCCGGUGGCAAAUCCUAGAAGCCCGGACGUGGGACCAGGGGGGAAGUUAAGUCAGAAGGGAGGGUGGGGAACAGCCCAAGAGGACUGACGUUCCCUCUUUGAGGGAGAAGCAGCAGCUUAGUGCACACCAGGGACACAAAACAGGCCUCGUUGGAGACACAUGACCUGCAUCCCGAGGCCUUGCUCUUUACAGAUUCAUGCCCUGGUGUAAGUUCUAAAUUGCUGCCCGUUUCACAACUGUUUUUAAUUUAAAGACUUCCAGGCCAUGAUAUUCCAGGGCAAAGAGAGAUUUUUCAUCAAGGAGAGCAGAAGAACGAGAUCAGAGCACUCACCAACUUCACCUUCUCAGCCUGGGAAAUGGGAAUUAAUUUCUCCCCAUCUCCAAAACGUAUGUCCAUUGAGAGAUAAGGAAACCCUUUAGAGGAGGCUCCAAGGGGCAGAGCAGCCAAGCGCGACAGCUCUAAACAUCACUUCCUUAAAAGAAAAAAUAAAACAAAAUGAAAGGGAUGUCUCCAAGUUUUCUGGAAGUUAAGACAGUAUACGAUGCCUGAGCAGUAACAUCAAGCAUCUCUGGAGGCCGAUGAUGAGAUGGGCUCGGUGACACCCCAGGACAGGAGGUCACUCAGAGGAUGCUUAACCAAUUCCUGCGGGGAGGGAAAAACAAACAUAGGAACGUUUGCCUCCCUUUACUGUAACCCGGUUGCAAAAGAACGAAGAGCGAGCCAGGGUGAUUAUUCAGGCGUUUUGUUAUCCACCGUUGCCUUUUAAAAGGCCAAGUAUGAGCUUCUUGAUGCCCUCACUGGGAUCUUUUUCACCUCGUCUUCCUCUCAGCUCCGAGGAAAAGGCCAGAAGAAUCAGGGCCUUGUCCAGUCUGUUCUGUACCUUCCUGCUAUUUAGAAAAAGACACUCCUUCUAGAGGGACCAUUAGGAAAAGGUGCCCCAACUGGGGAGACAAAGCCUGUGGGCUGCAUGCCUCAAGGACCAGCUUUUCCUGGGGAUGGAGAAAAAGUUAUCUUCCUUCCAAGUGGACACUGCCGUGUAUCAGGGCAAGCCGUGAGGCAGCUUGGCAAGUAGAACAUCAGCUGGUUUCAGCCCACAAUUGUCCCCUCAGCCAGGCACCUUUACAAAAUCUGCAAAACCCCCAACCCAACCAUGCAUGGUGGCCCUAAUAGGAGUUCUGCCUCUAACACACCGCUGUGACUUUGACCUUGUAGAGAGGCCUGCCUCCCUCCUCCCAGGCAUCAGAGCCUAUAUAUCCCAGAACAUUUUUGCCCAAUCCCCUUUGAGUGAUGACUGCAGUAUCAUGGCCAAGGACACAAAAGGGAAGGAAUGGAACUUGGGUUGGGAGGUCAGAAUUUCACCCAGAGACCACACUUAGAUAAUGGAGCCAAUACUGAUGCCAAAUAGCCCCCCUCCCUUCCCCAGGGCUUCCUCAUCCAUCAGACAGAAACCUGUGCUGCCUCUAUCAGAACAGAGAGGUUUGCUGCCUUACUCCCACAAGGCAGAGCUGGUGUAAAAAAAAAACAUCCAGGGCUCUGAAAACAAAACUGCAAACUUGCUUUAAGUCCUCCUUUCACAAAUUGCUCCAGAAACCCCCAAAAGCCCUUCCCUCACUCAAAAAGAUCACCAUAUAAAGAAGCAGAAUGACCUUGACCAUGCAAUGCACCUGGAGAGACCGGCAUGGCAGAGCAAAGCUUUGGUUGCCCUGGCAACACUGACAUGGACACACCAGAAAGGGUGGGCAAGGUAGUUUGGCAGAAAAAGCUUAUUGGCAACGUUUACCACCCUCCACCCUCCCCACGGGAGUGGGCUUCAUGCCCACUCAUGUCUCCUAUGUCCUCUCUUCAGCAUCUGUAGCCUCAGGGCCUCCACUGGCAUACAGGGCAUGAAGAGGUGUUCUUGAUCUUUCUAGGGAGCCUAGACCAGACUUGAGAGCAAAAGUCAAAAAAAAAAAAAAAAUAGGAGGAUCCCUCGUGAAUGGACCUGAGUCUGAAUCUCUUCCCAACAUGGCUUUAAAUUUUCCCUACAAGUAUUUGGAUCUGUGCGUAGCAAGUCUGAUUUUGUGGAGCAACUUGCUCUCUCCAUGACCCCUGGGUCCAAGAGUUGGCCAGAGACAGAAACGACUGGCCAAAGCCUGGAUGGAUUCGGCUGGGCUCAGUCCCUGAAGGCUUUGUUCUCCAAUCUGUUUAUACAGUUUCCCGUAGGAGUCUGUAAUUUUAAUCAGUAAAUAUCUCCCUUGAUUUAUCACCUUCUAUUGACAUAGUGGUAAUUCAAGCGGUGGAACUAAAGCUGGGCCUGCUGUGUGUUUUUUCCCUUCAUUGUACCCAGCCUCUGUUUGAUUUUUCUACAUCCUCUUAGGUAAUUGGUCCGCCUCUGACGCUCCCUGUAUGACCGGCUGUGGUCAGGGGUCAGUGGGGUCCCCCUUCCGAAGAGCAGACUGUUGUAACCAAUCACGAUGCAACCCCAUCUCGGGUUGGCUAAAACCAGAGCAGACAAACCACAGACUGAUAGGACCCAGUGGAUUUCAUUUUAAAAGUAGAAAUCCAAGAUGCUCAUAAAGAGCACUGCUAUUCUCUCUAGCCCCAGAGACAGUUUGGAGACCUAAUCCGCUGAUUUAGUAUCUCUGAGUUGAACAGGGAGAUGCUUCUUCCCAAACCUCCUGGAGCUGCCAAUUUCCACAUUAGCGGAUUGAUCUCUCUGUAAACAUGGGGUUGGAUAAGGCCUGGUACUCAGUUCUACUUUUUAUUAAUGCAUUUAUUUAUUUAGCAUUUAUACUAGUAAAUUGGUUUAAAAAAAUUCCUUGGGGACACUGUAUCUUGAUUUCAAUAUCACAUUUGUCCAAAAAUGAUCUCUGUGAUGGCCAAGAUAAAGAACUGAGGCCUUUCUCCUCCUAGAGCUGGGUGGAUUCAAAGCUGGCUCAAUUCAAAGCUGGCUCCAUGUCUCCAGGGUUCUGGGCCAAGCUAUUCGCGUUUGCAGGCGGACUAGAACUAAAAGGAAAGGCUUGAUGUUGGAGAACAGGGUCUAGAGUCCCAAAAUAUCUCAAAAAACUGAAACAAUGGGCUGACAUUUCAAAGGCCAAAAUCAGUGGAAAAUUCUGAUCGUUGCUGGAUGGUUCAAUGCUAAAGCAUUGAACGAGAGCAAUCUGUUUAAGCAUAAGUUUUGUAAGAUGCUGUUAGAUGUUUGGGGGUCCACAAACUCGGUAGAUGCUAACUGCAUAAUCAAUAGAUGGCAGAUGACUAACAAAAUCUUAGGUGGUGGUGGUAGAAUGGUUUCCUCCAAACGUCAUCUCCCUUGACUUGCGCUUCAUGGAAGUUUUCCAUCUUUUUAUCCCCAGUAGUAACUAGAACAAUCAAUGCCUCAUGUCACAGAAGCUUAUUUAAGUGUCCUUUGGAUAGGUGGUUGGAUGGAUAAACAGAGGGAUGGAUGGAUAACAAAGGAAGAAAAUGACCCCACCGGUCAACCCGUAUCUAAAGUAUUGUGUUCCCUUUUCAAUGCCAAUUUCAAGGAUGGAUGUGAAUAACGUGGAGUGUGUCAAGAGAAGAAGGCCCAGAUAGUGAAGGAUUUGGGAUUCGUGACACAGGUGAAAGAGUUGAAGAAAUUGGUGUAUCUAACAGAAAUGGGAGAAGGCAAAGGACUCGGGGGCAGUAGGGGGGAGGUGGGCAGCAUGGGAAAAGGGAAAGAAAUGUCAUCCAGAUUUAGAAUUGUGAAGGCAGGCACAUAUGAGAGGGAUUAAAAUGAUUUGCAUUGCGGAGUUCCUGUCCUGGCUCAGUGGAAACAAAUCUGACUAGUAUCCAUGGGUCGCAGGUUCGAUCCCUGGCCUUGCUCAGUGGACUAAGGAGCUGGCAUUGCUGUGAGCUGUGGUGUAGGUUGCAGACAAAGCUCAGAUCUGGCCUUGCUGUGGCUGUCGCGUAGGCCAGUGACUACAGCUUCAAUUUGGCCCGUAGCCUGGGAACCUCCAUGUGUAGCGAGUGCAGCCCUAAAAAGACAAAAAUAAUAAUAAUAAUAAUUUGCAUUGCUUUAGAAGAUAAAGCUGGAAACACAUGGUGGAUACCUACAGAUACCUGGAUAGGUAGGUUUCAUCUCAGAACUUAGAAGAAAUCUCCACCAAUCAGAAGGCUUCCCUGGUGCCUCCUAGGGAAGUGGCCUGAUCCUACUGUUGGGUCUUUCUCCUUCUGAUUGUCCUAAGCAGCCCCCAUCCAGAGCAGCCCCUCCCCAUGAUGCCUCCACAACUCGUUGUCAAUGCUCCUUUCGCAAUGCUUUCAUUUAACAGUGCUUCCCAGGAAAUUUAGUUUACAUGUCUGACCCCUUCACUAAGUUAUAAAUUCCUUGAGAACAAGGCCUGUGCCUUUCAUAUUCUUUAUACGUAGGAGACACUCCAUCAACUUUUACUUUAUUUGUUGGGUUAAAUACAACCUGGCUGCCUCCUUGCUUCGAGUGUAGCACAAAACAUAUUGUUUGGUCUCGUCUGAGAUCUGUGGAAAUGCAGAAACUCUGGAAUAGCAAUAUAACUGUGCUGGCUCUCCUCCAAAGUUCUGCGCUGGGGGGAAGAUUCUUCUGUUGAAUCCACUCUUCCCAACUUUAAAGUAACAAUAACUUUUGAAGUAAAGAUACCUGGAUUCUUGAGGUUUGCAAUACUGUGUGUGAAAUGUUUCAUAUUCUUUCCAACAGAGGUAAUCUUGAAUUCAAAGUGUCAUUAUAACAAUAAAACAUUACAUUAAAGACACAUUUUGUCCUUCCCCUUCACCAUCGACAUUCUUUCUGUUCCCAAAGUUCCCACCAUGAAAUUCUAGGAAAUUCGUUUCAAUAAAACUGUCUUAUCUGCUCCCCAUCCAAACAUGGAGAAACCGGUGCAGUCUCUUUUGCGUACGUGGAAAAGAUCUUUAUUUUCUUCUUCUUAAGGAGAUUAAUAGCUAUUUGCGUUAUUAAGAAAUAAUAGUUUAGGAGUUCCCGUCGUGGCGCAGUGGUUAACGAAUCCGACUAGGAACCAUGAGGUUGCGGGUUCGAUCCCUGCCCUUGCUUAGUGGGUCAAGGUUCCGGCGUUGCCGUGAGCUGUGGUGUAGGUCGCAAACGCGGCUCGGAUCCUACGUUGCUGUGGCUCUGGCGUAAGCUGGCAGAUACAGCUCCGAUUCAACCCCUAGCCUGGGAACCUCCAUAUGCCGCAGGAGCAGCCCAAGAAAUGGCAAAAAAAAAAGACAAAAAAAAAAAAAA